rnacentral:misc_RNA from 1 species
GAGAAAGAACAUAAGUUUCAUUAAUAAAACAAAACAAUACAAACACUAAAUAAAUAUAUUUCUUUUACUUCUUCAUUUUCUCUCAACUCUCCCCACACUUCUCCUCCUCUUAUCUCCACGCAUCACUCUCUUUAAGGAAAGCAUUCUUCAAGUAAACAAAUCCACACUAAAUACAAGACAUCAAAAUAUUUCAUUUUCUUCCACGCAUAAUUUUCUACCAAAUAUUCUCCAAAAACAACUCAACUCCAACACUUUUAAGCCAUUCGACAUAUAUAGACAAUUUUCAUUGCAACCUAAUAAAAGAAAUUACAAAAAUUUCUGAAGCUGCCGCAAUUUUUUAUUGACCUCAAGGAUGCUUUCCCUCUACCCACCACCAAACAGAUCAUAUCAUUCCAGAAAUCUUGAUGCUGGAUCAAUGCUUAAGAACAAGAGGGAAGUCGCCUUUUUUUUUUUUUUAAACAAUAACAAGAACAAAAUAAAAGUGAUGAUGAUUCAUGCCUGUGUAUAAUUACAUUAAACAAAGACCGGGGAAUGUGGAUCUAAAUUUAGAGGGGAAAAGAGAGAGUAAUCAGAGCUUGCAAGUGACUCUCCAUCUCAACUCCUGAAUGCUGAAAACGCAUUGCAGCACACACCAAACAACAAUUGCCUAUUUGCAGCCAAUUAACACUUGAAAAACUAGAUACAAAACCACCGAGCCAAGCUCAGUGUUAUUAGAUUCGUCUCCAAGACAAUAAGAUAUUAAAUUGAGUCCUAAUUGGAGCCAAAUCAACCCAAAAAAAAACAAAGAAAAAAGAAACUCUAGAUACAAAGAAAAUUGACCAAUGUUUUUGAAGAGUGUGAAUGAUUUUUGCAGCUUUUGCAACCAAAACAAAGAAGAU